rnacentral:rRNA from 1 species
UACCGCCGUAGGGAAGGGGAAGGCGGGGGAUCGAAAGACCUCGCGCGAUUAGAGCGGCCGAUGCCUGAUUAGCUUGUUGGUGGGUAAAAGCCCACCAAGGCGACGAUCAGUAGCUGGUCUGAGAGGACGAUCAGCCACACUGGGACUGAGACACGGCCCAGACUCCUACGGGAGGCAGCAGUGGGGAAUUUUGGACAAUGGGGGAAACCCUGAUCCAGCAAUGCCGCGUGAGUGAAGAAGGCCUUCGGGUUGUAAAGCUCUUUUGUCAGGGAAGAAACACCGGCUCUAACACAGUCCGGGAAUGACGGUACCUGAAGAAUAAGCACCGGCUAACUACGUG